CCACCACCAAAGCAUUUGCUGUACCGCGUUGACGGAGCGAAGCGACGUCAAACCGAUAAAACAGCAGUGUAAAGUGAGCCGCAGGGCGCUUUGCGCGACAGCGCAAAGGCAGGCGGUUUCGCGUAGCGAAAGCGAAUGCUUUGGGGUGGGGUGACUGCGUACCUUUUGUAUAAUGGGUCAGCGACUUAUAUUCUGUAGCAAGGUUAACCGAAUAGGGGAGCCGGAGGGAAACCGAGUCUUAAUUGGGCGUUAAGUUGCAGGGUAUAGACCCGAAACCCGGUGAUCUAGCCAUGGGCAGGUUGAAGGUUGGGUAACACUAACUGGAGGACCGAACCGACUAAUGUUGAAAAAUUAGCGGAUGACCUGUGGCUGGGGGUGAAAGGCCAAUCAAACCGGGAGAUAGCUGGUUCUCCCCGAAAGCUAUUUAGGUAGCGCCUCGUGAAUUCAUCUCCGGGGGUAGAGCACUGUUUCGGCUAGGGGGCCAUCCCGGCUUACCAACCCGAUGCAAACUGCGAAUACCGGAGAAUGUUAUCACGGGAGACACACGGCGGGUGCUAACGUCCGUCGUGAAGAGGGAAACAACCCAGACCGCCAGCUAAGGUCCCAAAGUCAUGGUUAAGUGGGAAACGAUGUGGGAAGGCCCAGACAGCCAGGAUGUUGGCUUAGAAGCAGCCAUCAUUUAAAGAAAGCGUAAUAGCUCACUGGUCGAGUCGGCCUGCGCGGAAGAUGUAACGGGGCUAAACCAUGCACCGAAGCUGCGGCAGCGACACUGUGUGUUGUUGGGUAGGGGAGCGUUCUGUAAGCCUGUGAAGGUGUGUCGUGAGGCAUGCUGGAGGUAUCAGAAGUGCGAAUGCUGACAUAAGUAACGAUAAAGCGGGUGAAAAGCCCGCUCGCCGGAAGACCAAGGGUUCCUGUCCAACGUUAAUCGGGGCAGGGUGAGUCGACCCCUAAGGCGAGGCCGAAAGGCGUAGUCGAUGGGAAACGGGUUAAUAUUCCCGUACUUGGUGUUACUGCGAAGGGGGGACGGAGAAGGCUAUGUUGGCCGGGCGACGGUUGUCCCGGUUUAAGCGUGUAGGUGUGUGUUCCAGGUAAAUCCGGUUCACUUUAACACUGAGGCGUGACGACGAGGCACUACGGUGCUGAAGCAACAAAUGCCCUGCUUCCAGGAAAAGCCUCUAAGCAUCAGGUAACAUCAAAUCGUACCCCAAACCGACACAGGUGGUCAGGUAGAGAAUACCAAGGCGCUUGAGAGAACUCGGGUGAAGGAACUAGGCAAAAUGGUGCCGUAACUUCGGGAGAAGGCACGCUGACACGUAGGUGAAGUGAUUUACUCAUGGAGCUGAAGUCAGUCGAAGAUACCAGCUGGCUGCAACUGUUUAUUAAAAACACAGCACUGUGCAAACACGAAAGUGGACGUAUACGGUGUGACGCCUGCCCGGUGCCGGAAGGUUAAUUGAUGGGGUCAGCGCAAGCGAAGCUCCUGAUCGAAGCCCCGGUAAACGGCGGCCGUAACUAUAACGGUCCUAAGGUAGCGAAAUUCCUUGUCGGGUAAGUUCCGACCUGCACGAAUGGCGUAAUGAUGGCCAGGCUGUCUCCACCCGAGACUCAGUGAAAUUGAACUCGCUGUGAAGAUGCAGUGUACCCGCGGCAAGACGGAAAGACCCCGUGAACCUUUACUAUAGCUUGACACUGAACAUUGAGCCUUGAUGUGUAGGAUAGGUGGGAGGCUUUGAAGUGUGGACGCCAGUCUGCAUGGAGCCGACCUUGAAAUACCACCCUUUAAUGUUUGAUGUUCUAACGUGGACCCGUUACCCGGGUUGCGGACAGUGUCUGGUGGGUAGUUUGACUGGGGCGGUCUCCUCCUAAAGAGUAACGGAGGAGCACGAAGGUUGGCUAAUCCUGGUCGGACAUCAGGAGGUUAGUGCAAUGGCAUAAGCCAGCUUGACUGCGAGCGUGACGGCGCGAGCAGGUGCGAAAGCAGGUCAUAGUGAUCCGGUGGUUCUGAAUGGAAGGGCCAUCGCUCAACGGAUAAAAGGUACUCCGGGGAUAACAGGCUGAUACCGCCCAAGAGUUCAUAUCGACGGCGGUGUUUGGCACCUCGAUGUCGGCUCAUCACAUCCUGGGGCUGAAGUAGGUCCCAAGGGUAUGGCUGUUCGCCAUUUAAAGUGGUACGCGAGCUGGGUUUAGAACGUCGUGAGACAGUUCGGUCCCUAUCUGCCGUGGGCGCUGGAGAACUGAGGGGGGCUGCUCCUAGUACGAGAGGACCGGAGUGGACGCAUCACUGGUGUUCGGGUUGUCAUGCCAAUGGCACUGCCCGGUAGCUAAAUGCGGAAGAGAUAAGUGCUGAAAGCAUCUAAGCACGAAACUUGCCCCGAG
rnacentral:rRNA from 2 species